rnacentral:rRNA from 1 species
GAACGGCAGGCGGACCUUCUGGGUGCCGGCGAGUGGCGAACGGGCGAUUAUAUAUCGGAACGUGCCUUUCAGUGGGGGAUAACGUCUCGAAAGUUACGCUAAUACCGCAUAUUCUCUGAGGAGGAAAGCAGGGGACCUUCGGGCCUUGCGCUGAUAGAGCGGCCGAUAUCAGAUUAGCUAGUUGGUGGGGUAAAGGCCUACCGGGGGGACGAUCUGUAGCGGGUCUGAGAGGAUGAUCCGCCACACUGGGACUGAGACACGGCCCAGACUCCUACGGGAGGCAGCAGUGGGGAAUUUUGGACAAUGGGCGAAAGCCUGAUCCAGCCAUGCCGCGUGAGUGAAGAAGGCCUUCGGGUUGUAAAGCUCUUUCGGCCGGGAAGAAAUCGCACAGGCUAAUACCUUGUGUGGAUGACGGUACCGGAAUAAGAAGCACCGGCUAACUACGUGCCAGCAGCCGCGGUAAUACGUAGGGUGCGAGCGUUAAUCGGAAUUACUGGGCGUAAAGCGUGCGCAGGCGGUUUGGUAAGACAGGCGUGAAAUCCCCGGGCUCAACCUGGGAACUGCGCUUGUGACUGCCUCACUAGAGUACGGCAGAGGGGGGUGGAAUUCCACGUGUAGCAGUGAAAUGCGUAGAGAUGUGGAGGAACACCGAUGGCGAAGGCAGCCCCCUGGGCCGAUACUGACGCUCAUGCACGAAAGCGUGGGUAGCAAA